rnacentral:lncRNA from 10 species
GUUUCCCAACCACUACAUUUGAAUGAUUCAUUCCUCUGAGGACCCUCAAGUACUUCAGAAGAACUAAAAAAUGAAUAUCACGUUACACCAAAGAAGAAAUGAAAGCUGCCAGUGUCUUCUGAAGUUAAACAGGCUCCUGUUCUUUGACCCAGCAAUCCAAUCCUAGGUACUUACCCAAGAGAAACAAAAACAUGUAUUUACAAAAAGACUUGUAUAAAAUGUUCAAAGCAGCCUUAUUCAUAAUAGCCAAAAUCUGAAACAACCCAAACGUCCAUCAAUAGGAUAAUGAAUAAGCAAACUGAAAUAUAACCAUAUAAUGAAAUAGCACUCCAUCAAUAAAAAGGAAUGAACUUCUGAUACACAGAACAAUGUGAAUAAA